rnacentral:rRNA from 1 species
AUUGAACGCUGGCGGCAUGCCUUACACAUGCAAGUCGAACGGCAGCACGGGUACUUGUACCUGGUGGCGAGUGGCGAACGGGUGAGUAAUACAUCGGAACGUACCUUAUCGUGGGGGAUAACGCAGCGAAAGCUGUGCUAAUACCGCAUACGCCCUGAGGGGGAAAGCGGGGGAUCGAAAGACCUCGCGCGAAUGGAGCGGCCGAUGUCAGAUUAGGUAGUUGGUGGGGUAAAGGCUCACCAAGCCAACGAUCUGUAGCUGGUCUGAGAGGACGACCAGCCACACUGGAACUGAGACACGGUCCAGACUCCUACGGUGGCUG